rnacentral:rRNA from 1 species
CCUACGGGGGGCUGCAGUGGGGAAUAUUGGACAAUGGGGGCAACCCUGAUCCAGCCAUGCCGCGUGUGUGAAGAAGGCCCUCGGGUUGUAAAGCACUUUCAGUGAGGAAGAACGCCUGGUGGUUAAUACCCAUCAGGAAAGACAUCACUCACAGAAGAAGCACCGGCUAACUCCGUGCCAGCAGCCGCGGUAAUACGGAGGGUGCGAGCGUUAAUCGGAAUUACUGGGCGUAAAGCGCGCGUAGGUGGCUUGAUAAGCCGGUUGUGAAAGCCCCGGGCUCAACCUGGGAACGGCAUCCGGAACUGUCAAGCUAGAGUGCAGGAGAGGAAGGUAGAAUUCCCGGUGUAUCGGUGAAAUGCGUAGAGAUCGGGAGGAAUACCAGUGGCGAAGGCGGCCUUCUGGACUGACACUGACACUGAGGUGCGAAAGCGUGGGUAGCAAACAGGAUUAGAUACCCGAGUAGUC